rnacentral:rRNA from 1 species
UACGUAGGGUGCAAGCGUUGUCCGGAAUUAUUGGGCGUAAAGAGCUCGUAGGCGGUUUGUCACGUCUGCUGUGAAAACUCGGGGCUUAACUCCGGGCCUGCAGUGGGUACGGGCAGACUAGAGUGCAGAAGGGGCAACUGGAAUUCUCGGUGUAGCGGUGAAAUGCGUAGAUAUCGAGAGGAACACCUGCGGCGAAGGCGGGUUGCUGGGCUGACACUGACGCUGACAGCGCGAAAGCUAGGGGAGCGAACGGG